CUGGCCACAAGACCAUGAUGAUUUGGGAUGUCCUGUAACAGUACCAGCUGCAGGCUGCACCUGCAUUUGUCUAAGGAGCCCGUGAUGCUGACGUCCUCCAGACUUCAAACUGGCUCUUCUGCGUCAGGUGU